UAGCAACGCGAAGAACCUUACCAAGGCUUGACAUACACCGGUAACGCCCAGAGAUGGGUGCCCCUUUGUGGUCGGUGUACAGGUGGUGCAUGGUUGUCGUCAGCUCGUGUCGUGAGAUGUUGGGUUAAGUCCCGCAACGAGCGCAACCCUCGUCCUAUGUUGCCAGCGGGUCAUGCCGGGGACUCAUGGGAGACUGCCGGGGUCAACUCGGAGGAAGUGGGAUGACGUCAAAUCAUCAUGCCCCUUAUGUCUUGGGCUUCACGCAUGCUACAAUGGCCGGUACAAAGGGCUGCGAUACCGCGAGGUGGAGCGAAUCCCAGAAAGCCGGUCUCAGUUCGGAUUGGGGUCUGCAACUCGACCCCAUGAAGCCGGAGUCGCUAGUAAUCGCAGAUCAGCAACGCUGCGGUGAAUACGUUCCCGGGCCUU
rnacentral:rRNA from 1 species